GCCUGGGUGGCUCUGUCGGUUAAGCGCCUGACUUCGGCUCAGGUCAUGAUCUCAUGAUCUGUGAGUUCAAGCCCCACGUCGGGCU
rnacentral:tRNA from 1 species